UCUUCUCCUUCGUGGUAUAUUCCAAUUGACCAUAACUCCUAGACUCCUAGUUGUGACUCCCAUAACCCUCUAGUCAUCGAAGUUCUCGCCUGAGGAAGGUCUGACCUCUCGCAGCUCUCGCCUCUCGCCUCUUGCAGCUCUCGACGUCGAAGGAUUGCUCAACUCCUCACAUCGUCGUGUCAGUCUUUUAUGAACUGCUUGUCGCCUCGUCGUCUCUGAUUUUGUUGUCAAGCUCGAACCUGUCGUAGUCGUCGUUAGUCUGGAGCUGCUGCUGGCCCGUCUUCUCUUCUCUACUUUGACACUUGGCGCGCUGGAGCUUAUGGAGAGCAUGGUGGACUUGCAGAAUCUAGAUGCAUCGUAGCUUCGCCUUCAGUUGGGAUUGAACGGUUCGGUCCGGUCUGAUAUUCACCGAAUUUGGCCGGUUUUAGACGGUUUGUUACGGGUUUAACUGGUUCAUUUCGGUUCUCUACUUUGAACGGUCCUAACCUUAGACCGGACCGGUGUAGAGUUUGGUUUAUCGAUUUUUCGGUCGAACCGGUCAGUCUGAUCCGGUUCUGACAACUAUGGUCGGAACAACAAAGGAGGAGAGUUGGUAGAGGAGAGUCAUGGACCACAGUGUACAAAAGAAAAUAUGACUCUUAUAUCAAUGAUGAAGCAAGAGCAAUUAGUGAAAGAAUUCACGAGAUUGAGCAACAGGAUGAGUCUUCUAGAGUGUUGUCUCAAAAUGAUUCGCUUGCUUAAGCUCUCGAAAAAUAAAACCAGGUAGAGUGCGCGGCAUGGGUUUCGAACCGACUCCUAGUCAACUCUUCGGUCCAAAUUUGCAUCUGCCGAGUAAAGGAGUCCAAGUAGAGGAGACCCAAAAAAAGCUGCUUAAACUACAAGCAGAGCUAAAAGCCGAGAAGUUAAAAAGGAAGACGAUGGAGGAUGAAGCAACAAUAGAGAAGUAAAAGAGGCAGGCAAUGUAGAGUGCUUUGAGAUAUCUAUUUCAACAGCAAGGUGAGGAGCUGCCACCAGAUAUCACUGCGGGGAUGAGUUCCGUGGAAGGAUAGAGUGAAAAAUAGAAUAUUAGGAUUGGAAUGAUUUUGUUUUGAAUUUGACUAUGCAACUCUUUG